rnacentral:rRNA from 1 species
UACGGGGGGGGCAAGCGUUGUUCGGAAUUACUGGGCGUAAAGGGCGCGUAGGCGGCCUGCUAAGUCGGAUGUGAAAUCCCUCGGCUCAACCGAGGAACUGCAUCCGAUACUGGCGGGCUUGAAUCCGGGAGAGGGAUGUGGAAUUCCAGGUGUAGCUGUGAAAUGCGUAGAUAUCUGGAGGAACACCGGUGGCGAAGGCGGCAUUCUGGACCAUAACUGACACUGAGAGACGAAAGCCAGGGGAGCAAACGGG